GUUUUCGGUAGGUGAACCUGCGUGAGGAUCAUUAUUGUAUAACUGAGAUUGCUGGGGCUGUCGCUGACCUUUUGAAAGAAAAGGUUGUGCACGCCCAAGUGCUCUCUCGCAUCCCAUAUUUUCACCCCUUUGUGCAUCACCGCGUGGGCUACCCUUUUUGACUUGUUCAGAAGGGGGUGUUCGCGUUUUUACAAUACACCCCGUUUUUAAUGUAUGUGUAGAAUGUCUUGCUUUUUGCGAUCACACGCAAUAAAUACAACUUUCAACAACGGAUCUCUUGGCUCUCGCAUCGAUGAAGAACGCAGCGAAAUGCGAUACGUAAUGUGAAUUGCAGAAUUCAGUGAAUCAUCGAAUCUUUGAACGCACCUUGCACCCCUUGGUAUUCCGAGGGGUACACCCGUUUGAGUGUCAUGAAACACCCUCAACCUUCUUGGUUUCUUGACUGGGAAGGAUUGGACUUUGGAGGUUUUUACCUUGCUGGUCUCUUUUGAAGCCAGCUCCUCCUAAAUGAAUUAGUGGGGUGGGAUCUGCUUUGCUAACCCUUGACGUGAUAAGUAUGCUUCUAUGUCUUGGGUUUUGCACUGUUGCCUCAGAAACCUGCUUCCAACCAUCUUUGAAUAAAGACAAUGUUCAAGUUGUGACUUGACCUUAGAAACCUUGACCUCAAAUCGGGUGAGACUACCCGCUGAACUUAAGCAUAUCAAUAAGCGGAGGAAAAGAAACUAACAAGGAUUCCCCUAGUAACUGCGAGUGAAGCGGGAAAAGCUCAAAUUAAAA
rnacentral:rRNA from 1 species